rnacentral:lncRNA from 1 species
AACAGUUCAUCUGCGCAUACCCCACACCAUAUCGUGGCGCGAUAGUCUCUUCUGCCCCCCCCCACACACACAUACAUACACAGACACAUACAUACAAGGCCUGACUUCUGCUCCCAGUCGACCCAGUCGACCCGGGUUCAAAUCCGCCUGCCAGCUCCUCGGGUGUUUGAGGAGUGAUGAAAUGGGAGGUGGCCCCCCAUCAUAUGGACGGUGUAGGACGUGAUAAUAUCAACUUGCGAGCUGACCAGGAACUAAGUUGAUGCGCCGUUGAUCCGCUAGAUUUGGUUGGAUGCUGGUGGUGAGUUGCCGAACCCAACGAAUACAUUCUGAAGUCGGAUGGGGUGACGGAUUAGGGUGCCCCUCUAGCAGGGGAGAGCAGGGACUGCCCCGGGAAAGGGGGCCGCUGGCGAAGUUAACCACCCUGUAACAACAUACAUACACAGACCGUCCUACUCGACCACCCACUCACCCCCCAGGUGCCAGGAUAGGCCAGGCGGCGGUGUCUAGAGGAGUCGUCAGUCGGGAGCACAUCGCCAAGACGGAAAAGUUCUACGAAAAGUGAGGACGGACCCCCUCCCCCAUAUCCCCUCUGUGCAUAUGUGGGUGGGUGUGUGUUUUGUGCACGUGUGUACGACUGAGUGACGCCGACCGCCCAUCCGAGGCCUCACCGUACUUAAACAUGUACGACAUUUCCACCCCUGCCAGGUACGGCGGGAAGACGGUGGUCCUGGCGCGUUUCGUGCCUAUCGUCCGCACCUUUGCACCCUUUGUGGCGGGUAUUGGCAGCAUGCCGUACGGCAAGUAAGUAUGAAUACGUCCGGAGGAGGGGGGAGAGGAUAAUAAAAUGUUGUAUGUGGUCAUUCAUUGCAUUGGACAUUCCUUUUGGUGUUUGGCACUUGGAGCUGUACAGUGGUGCCGUACGUGAUGGCGCUCCGUGAUUCCCCCCGCCCUCUCCCUCCCGGGGGGGGGGGUUGGGUUCGUUUGGGGGGGGGAAAGGGGGAAGUGGCGAAAUGCAACAUUGGAGAAGCCAAUGGCGACGUGCCGUAUGUUAAAUGGGUGGAGAGAGAGGGUGCCUGUGAAGGGGUCUUUGCGGGACCUCAGCGUUUUGAUCUGUCGUACCGUAUAUGGCUGCAAGUGGGGAGAUGGUUUCUGUUAUGACAUGCCUGGUGUCUGUCUGUGUGUGUCUGUGUAUGUUUGUGUGUAUGUUUGUGUGUAUGUUUGUUUGCGCAGGUUCGCCUGGUACAAUGUGGCUGGAGCACUCCUAUGGACCUUCUUGUUCGUGGGUAAGAGUCUUGAUUGAGGGUGGUGGUUAAGAGUGCAGGGGGAGGCGGAGGCCCCGUUUGUGGAGAACGCCCUUUGUGUGUCGCUUUGAUCGAGCUGUGAGCAGAGACUGGGGGACUGGGGGGCCAGAGAGAGAGAGAGAGAGAAAGCGAGACAGAGGGUAUAAAUUGCGAUGAUAGUCGACUCUCUGGCCGCCCACCAUCACAACCACCACCCCCCAGCAGUAGUCCAUAUCGCCACUACUGCACAGCGCCUCCGGCUCUCCCUCACCCCCUCAGGCGUCUCCCUCUCUCCCCGUUGUCAUUAUCUUGUCAAAAUAGUCCACUGCGCUUAUUACCACGGCUAUUAUUUCUACCACUGGAAUAUUAACAACAUUAUUGCUACUUUUGUCUUUGUUGAAACCCAGCACGUUGUGGCACCUUCAAGGUCUGUAGUUGAGGUACUUUUCGUGGCUCAGCUCUAUUACGACUCGCGCAGGUGCCGGGUUCUUCUUCGGCAAUUUGCCGUUUGUGCGCAAGAACUUCACGCUCGUAGUGCUCGGCAUCGUGGCCGUGUCCGUGAUGCCGGUCAUCUACGAGCUGUGGGCGGCGAGGCAAGAGGCCGGAGAGGCGGCUGCGUCUAGCGGUCGCGACGGUGGCGGCGGUGGUGGUGGGGAGGGAGGCGGAGGGCGUGGGGCGGACGGUGGUGGGCCCGGCAGCAAGCCCAACUUUGCCUGAACGAGGACCAAGUCAGCUAGCUUGUUUUUCGCAGCAGCCCCGCCUGCUUUCAUUCUUCUUCUUCUGCUGCUGCUCCUACUUAUAUCGCUGCUGCUCCUACUUCUAUCGCUGCUGCUGCUAGUACUGCAACUUCGCGCAGUGGUUGUGGUAAUGGUGGUUUAAAUGGUUAGGGUGGUUGGGAGGGGGCCCCGUCGGUACUGACAGCGGACUGGUAGAAGCCGAGCACGACAAAACACACCGACACCUCUCUCCUCCACCCUGACACCCCCCCAAUGUAUACAUACACACGCUCAUGCACACACACUUCUCCCAUCUGACCGUUGGUCGAGGGCGAGGUGGCGAAUGCUGAUGGAGUCGUGAGUGUGUAGAGAGGCAGGCGUUGGUAGGUAGGUAGGUAGGUGGGAGAGGAGAGGGUCAUUCGGGUGCACCUCAAGUGGAGGCUCCUGCUGCGAGUUUGUUUGGACAGAAUUGAACUGUCAGGUGUAUGUAUGUAAGUAUUUAUGUAUGUAUACAUGCGGAUAUCUUUUGUUGUUAAGUUAGGGUUGGGGAGGGGGCCCGCCUAAAGAACGAAGAGGCUCUCCUCCCGUCUCCUGCCAGAGUCAUUGGAGUCCGGUUGGGGAUGAAUGGGUGGUGUUACCCGACAACGGGGAUCCUGUGACCAUCUUGGUUAAAAUAUCUGGGGAAAUAACUAGCACAUACACUAUAUAUAUUUUUUCAUCAUUUUCGUUAUGAAUAAGUGUUAGGUAGCUACUGAAAAUUGUGCCCUAGAGUUUCCCCGCAUCCAGCUUGCGCACAAAGUAGCACAUUUAUGCCAGACAAUUUUUUGACCCAAAUUUAAAAUUAGCACAUAUGGACCCCAAUGAAGGAACCGACUUCCUGGGCAGAGGCUCGACCGGUUUCAAGUCGGAGAUAACACCAUAUCAUUCUGCGGGGCAUAGAAAGCAUAGGAACCACACCAUACCAUACCCAUCGCGCCAUAUUACAUACCAGGACACGGCCCAUAUGACCCCACCGAAACCGGAGGACGUACGACUAACAUUUCGCAUAUAUAUACGGUCUAUGUAAAUGUCGUGUAUAUUUAAACAAAGAGAACAAGAUUAAGCCUUGCGGAAGACGACCGGGGGGCCAAUGCUACUGGUGCCCACCCGCAUCCGCACCACUCUGGUGGCUAGGCCCGCGGGGCUGCUGGGGCUGCUAUCUCUCGUAGAAGAUCGUGUGUGCGCCAAUACCUCCCGAGACGAAGGGUUCAUCUACGGUGAAGUCUACCACGGCCUACGCACCACCAAGGAUUGCGGUCUUACUUGGUGCUUCGGGCUACUACUACUACUACUACUACUACUACUAGAAAGAAGGCUAACCACAUAUUACGCAAGUAACCAAUUACUCCCUGUACAGAUUUCCCCCUCCUUCCAUCCACCCAGCCAUAAUCACGCGCAAAUACACAUCUCCCCGCCCCCCCUAUUCCCCCCCUCCAAGUUUCCGAAACCCUGUGCCAAGGAGGACAUGACAUUUGACCACAGAACCUGAUUAAUUUGGCCUCUCACCAACAGAAAGCUCCUCCUCCUAGGCACGGAACCGGAUAAUGAGAUAUUGCAGGGGAGAGAGAGGUACCCAACAAUGACACACUGCAGCCAACCAGCCAACCAACCUGCAAAGACGAAAGGCCAACGCCGGAAGACAAAAACAAACACGCUUGAAAUGGCACAACAACAGAGCCCAGCUGGGGGCUGGGCGUUGCCCAUGCCCCGAAAGAAAAAGCCCGAAGCCACCGAAGAGGAGCCCGGUCCGCCCGUCCGGACGAGCUCCAAAGCAGCCUCUGCCAAGACCGCUUUCCUUUAUCCUUCAAACGCAAUGCAGCCUCGCCGUGAAUGGCUUCGUGACGAAGUUACCAGGUUGCUUCACAGCUGUCCUCGUCACAGCCGUUAGAGUUCAGAUUCGUCGCUGCUGGAAUCCAUCGGCACAAGAUAAGCGUUAGUGGACGGGGAGGGGGGGGGGAGAAGAGGUGGUGAUUGAUACUGGAAGAAAAGAGUGUUAGUUCCAAAGCCAGUCUGCAAGAUAGUGAAACCCCCCUCACGACACGCCCUUCCAUCCUUUCAUGUGUACGGCAACAACCUACGACAAGAAUCAUGUCAUAGGUGUAGAUGAAGAAGCGAAAAGAAAAGAAUAAGAGAAAUCAAGUGCGGUGGGCUCCUCUGAACCAUAUCCUUAUUCCCAGCAACAGAGCAAAGGUUAAUAAAAAAGUCGCAACCGCUCCUCCCACUGUACAACCUAGAGUUAGGAGCUACUAACCGCAUUUCAAUUCCUCACCCGACCUUAUCUUUCCCCACUCCUCGGGAGCCCACUCCACCCUUUUACCAACCCUUAACAUCACCACCACCACACCACUAUCCUUAAUCAAAAACUCAAUCCCCACCGACGGGAAGGAUAUGGAUCAUUGCCUCAUUCAUUCUCACCCGAGCCCACUUCACAGAGAGCAGGUAGCAAGCAGCCGCCAACCAUCCACCCAACUGUCAAUUCAAGCCGAAGCCGUGAUUCUGUUGCAUCCACUGUGACGGCAUCCGUUCGUUCGUUUAUCCAACUAACCGACUAACUAACCAGUUACCAUUAUGUCAUCUAUAGGCGCGGCAGCCAUCUAUGUUCAGCUAUAUGUAUAACCCUGCCCUCCCCUACCCUCCCUGGACACGCCAGAUAUUCGGCCACAUCUUGUUCGUGUCAUUCAGGAUCGCACCGCCACCACCACAUCAUCACCACCCCAAAUUUCAUCCUCCUCGUCACCCCAUUCUCAUCCUCCUCAUCCCCAUCAUCAUCAAAUCCAUGGGACCGAAUGUUAACAGCUACAGCGAACGAAUGGCAGCCAGGGCGCUGUCCUUGAGCUUGCGGGCGUCUGCCGCCAUCGCCAUCGUUGGAGUGCUGGUGCUCGCUGCCGCUGCGGAAGUGGCGGUGGAAGGGGCCGCCUCCCCGACGCCGCUCUGAGCGGGCGCCGCACCCGCGACUGACACUAGUUGCUGCUCUAGCUGCACUUGUUGCUGUUGUUGUUGCUGAGAGGACAGGACCCGCAACAUGUGCUGCCAGCCACUCACAUGAGGAGCAUCGCGUGUACCUGGCGGGGACGGGAGGGUACAGAGAGAGGAAGGCGGGAGAAAGGAUGAUUUAGCAGAGGGCAGGAUAAUCCAUUACGGGUAGGUUCUUUUUUUUCCAACACCUGGACCCGUGUGUGCAUACACACAUUGCUAACUGCACUUCCAACAAAACUAAAUAUUAGCGGCCCCCGCCCGCGGGCGCUGUUUGAUAUUCGUUAUUAUUUUAGCAAAUCCAACAUCAGUUUCUGCUUACUGCUAGCAACAGGCGUAGCAACUUCGAACGCCUGCAGGAGUUGCGUGUUUUAGUUAAUCAGCUAUUCAGUUAACCAAAACAUCUAUCCGUGUAUAAGACCACCAUAUCUCAUUGAUUCAUUCAGAGUCAUACCUGUGUAUAUCCACGGACACCAGCUCCUGUGCUGGCCCACGGGGUCCAGCUCACGCAACUGGGUGUCGGCAGCAGCCGGCAGCGGCGACGCUACGCCGCCGCCGCUGCUGUUGCCGUACCUCUCCAGCCGCAGCCGCUUCGGCUCCGUCAGCCCGUCACCGCAGGAAACACCACUGCCCCCAGGGGUGGCUGCAGCAGGGGUCUGUGGCCGCGGCGGGUCUACGGCCAUGGGCUCAGGGGUGACCUGCUCCUCGGCUUUUCGCUUGCGGCCCGUCACGGCGACGGCAGCGGAUGUUUUUGAUGCUGCAAGCGGCGUCGUUCCACAGAGGGGGCUGCCGAAACCGCCGCCACUCCUGCUACUGCCGCCGUUGCGUUUCUGCUGUUGUGCUUCUGCGUCCAGGGCUACAAUUCCGAAGACAGGCUCGCUCGCGCUGGAGGACCCGAAGCGAAAGGCCGUUGAGGAAGAGGGCCCGGGGGUUCGCGCAGCAGCGCCGUGCAAGCCGUACUGCCCACCCGCUAUGGUCAUGCUAAGUGGAUCGGCGCCGCCGCCGAUGCCGCCGGAGGCGGCUACGGCGCUGAUAGCCCCGCCGCCGCUGCUCGCGCCGCCGGCACGGGGGCUGAGCAGCGCCGCUACGCCUGCGGCCUGCUGCGACGGCGUCAGCCUGCCCGUCGGCACCGGACGCAGACCGGCAAAGUUCCACAACCCUGUACGGCAAUUGCAGUGCGGGCAUUUGAGCACGACGGAGGACAUCGGGUAGCGCUCACGGUCGGAGGCGGCGGCGGUCGCCGCCGUCGCCGCCGAAACUGCGGGCUUCGAGGCGCUCUUGGGCUUGACGCCUAGAUGCUGCAAGCUGUAGCCUGCGGACUGAGUGUACGGCAGCGCGCCAGAGCCGCUAGCGGAGUCCGGCUGUAGCACGUCAAUGUCCCAGCCCAUUAGAGCCAGCAGCCGAGCCUUCUGCUGCGGCGUCAUUUUUGACGGCUGUAAGAUGUAAGUUGGCGAGGCUGCGGCGCCGCCGCCGGCUGAAAACUGUUCCCCAUCCGAGAACAAGGGCGACCCGACCGCCGCCAUCCCGGCGGCGGCUGCGGCGCCGCCGUCAGACCCCUCUGUCACGUCCGUGAUGCGAACCACCGUGCGCUUACGCGGCGUCGGCGUGCCGGUGCCGCCGACGGCGCCGCCAUCAAUUCCCAGCAUGACUAGGUCGUCGUACGACCCGUACGGCGCUGCAGCGCCCCGUAAAGCCUGAAUCGCGAUUGCGUCGAUCUCCGGCAAGACAUCCACCUUGAGGAGCUUUCCCUGGAGCGUUUGGAAGACCUGGCACAGCUCGUCGUUCGUGGUGUUGGGGAUGUAGGCCAGCAACGAGGGGUUGCACUGAGUUUGGCGCCAGGGGCACGAGGCGUUGUGCUUGGUGGUCAGGGAGGGUGAGAAGAGGUCUGCGAUUAGAAGGGGAAAUACGAUCACAGCGGAAGCGGCAGCAGGGAGUGUCACUGGCAGCGGGUAAAGGGCCCCGAGAAUUGCUAGAGCGAGCCGCAAUCGCGCACCUGCUGCCGCCUGGCGUUGGUCAUAGGAGACGUUUGGCGGGUAAACAAGCUUUGCGUUGCAAUGCUCGCAGCAAAGGCUGUCGACGGCAUCAUUUAUCCAACCCCGCAGCGCGCAUGGCACCGGUCCAACUGUAUCAGGCUUUGAAAACCAUGUCAGAGGCUUAUAUGUUUCAAGCCGGCGAUGCAGGUCGGACUGCUCCCAGGGCCGGAAGCGCUUGGGAGCGCGGCCGUGGCCGUCCCCUGUUGUGUAAAAGCUCCGGCCGCCAUUUUCAGCACCAUUGUCUCUUUCUCGACGCUUUCCCAGCGACGACAGUGCGUUAGUUAUUCGUUCGUAGACUGACGCCAUGUUACAAAGCUAGGCUUGCGCCUCGGCGUAGGGGAUCAACGGAGGUUGACGCUUUGCCUUACGCCUCGCUAUGCACCACAGGCGGUGGCUGUAGUAAAUAAUAAACUACUAACUGGAAGUCAAUUAUGAACUGGUCAACCAGGUCGGAGACCCCAGAUUUGUAUCGCUUCAAAACGUGGCUAGCACUAGAGUGUCCCGUAAGUAGUCAGAUUAAAAGUAUGGCAUAACACGUAGGGUAAGAUGUAGCGCUAUACGUCCCUUGGUCAGAAAUGUCUGGGGCCAACAAGCAUUCUUAUUUAAAUGGGCGAAUGCAUUGGUUACCGCGAUGGUGAUGGGCAUAGGGGGUACGCCUCACGAAAUGAAGUUUAUACAACUCGGUAUGAUUCUAGAAAUUAUGCACUUUUAGCUGCAGGCUGCAUGAGGAGCCUGAGGUAGUUUCAAACGAUCUGUGAGUUCUCUAGCGCUUUCGGAGGAAGGGAGCCUCGUUUAUCAGACCAUUGGGACAACACCUUUAAACACUUAUAAAAAAAUAUCCACACGUGGUAAGAAUGGCAGCGCAACUUGGCACCUAAGAGUGGAAGCUGCAGGGUUCAAUCUGUCCUGCCCCAACGUCACCGAGAACAUGCAGCCGAGGAGGGAAGUUUGGGAGUAUGGCAGUAUUCCCCUUCAGUCUCUCUGUCCCCAACUGGACGGCGUCCAAUCGCUAUUGUCCUUCCAUGGGAAACUUUUCGCGCGCAGCAAGACCGGCCGGCACGGCCAACGUGAGUCAUCGCGGUUCAAUCUGCAUUGUUUUCAAACACCACGACGUAUUUGCACUGAUUCCACACAAUGGUGCUCAGCGGGCUAGAUUGCGCAGUACUCGUCCCUGCGCCAUUUGGACCCGCAUUAUAAUAGCUCAAGCCAACAUAUUCAUGGGUUUGUGUUUGCCCACAGAAACAAGCCGAUUCCUCGCUUUGCCCUGAUUACCAAAGAAACGUCGUUGACUGCGGACUGCCAUCGCACCCCCAACAGCCCCCUCUCCGUUGACCGCUCUUAUCAUCAUCACCACCACUACUACCCUUCUGCCUUGGCUCCUCUCUUCCCCUCUCUUUCACACCACGUUCUCAUCUCCCGCCUUCUCCCAAAGUUAGCCUGCUCUGGCCGUUGUUCCUCAACCCCCCUUCCCUAGUCCAAAUCCCCAAACCCGUUUCUUCUCCCUGCGUCACAGCUUAUGGACCCUGAAUGGACCCGGAAAACCCAUCUACCUCUGAAUCCAUCAUCCCCUCAUCCAUGCGCGAUGCCACGGCCUUGGCCCCGCUCUCCCCCCUCCGCAGGCAUCGUGACGCCCGCUGACGUGGCACAAACCCUGGAGCUGACCACCCACCAAGUAGACGUCCUGACUGAAGUCCUCGCGGCGCUCUCCUUUGCCAACUCCUUCCCGCCUCCUCCCUCUUCCACUACCACCACCUCAACCACCACCUCAGCCGCCACCGCAACCGGACCGCAGCAAGCCCAGCCCCAGCCACCACCGCAGCUCGGCCAGGAGGAUAUCUACCUUCACGAGCUGUCCCUGUACCUCCUGGCCCAGCUCUUCUGCAAGGAGUCCCAGCGGGCGGAUGCGGUGGAGUACUGGCCCGACCCCAACAGCACCAGCUUUGCGGCGGCGGUGGCGGCGGGGGGAGGGGUGGGUGGUUUCGGAGCGGGACAGGAGCUGCUGUCGCCCACGCGUCGAUCGCAGCCGGGAGGUGAGAGACGAGACGGGACAUGUGGAAGGGCAAUGGCGAUUGGCUGCCCGGAGGAAUGGGAAGGAGUGAGGCGGAGAUGGGAGGCGAGUUAGAUGCAAAAGGCAAAGGGGAAUGACUUCCUUCCUUAAGGAAGGAAGUGGGGGAAGAUGAGGCGGAGGGAAGCCAGAGAGAGAGAAUAUGUCUUUUGUGGAGGAAUGGGCGCUGUGGCUGGGUGGUCAGCCGGGGAUAGGGGGGGAUAGCGGUCUGGGGGUUGGGCGUGGGAGAGGAGCGCAGAUGGGCUUGGGAGGCGCGGGAGAGAGCUAGCUCCAGCACUAGCACAGUUGGAGUGUGUAGGGGGGAGGCAUAUCGGGAGGAAUAUUUGAUACUCGUUCCCCCCGGCUCGGUUCUGACGCGACGAGGGGGCCGGGGCGCAUGCAGGUAGCGCGGUGAAGUGGGUAUGAUGGCGUACAGGCAGUUGAGCCGAUUGAUUGGCCGCCGCCAUCUCGCUCGCUUGCUACCACCAUCACCACUACUAGUCUACUACUGCUGCUAUAACUGCUAUUACUACGAUUACCUCCUGCAUUGGCGCACCCGGAUUUUUGGAACCUCAUCCCCUCGUACCUCUCCCCCCCCUUCACACACAACACACACAUCGUACACCUUGUAGGCCGUAGCCUGCUACGUCAGCAACUCCAGGGGCAUCUCCGUGCUCAGAUCAUGGCCAUGCGUGGUUUCGGAGACUACCUCCGUCGCAACCUGAAACCCGCAGUGGAGCUGGUCCUUGAGUCCUGGCCCCCCCAGCCGGGUGCUCUGGUUUCGGAGCGGGAACUGGACCGGCUGGCGUUUGUGCUGGGGUGUACGACUGGGGGACCCCGGGGGGCUUUGGAACCGGGUGAGUGGUGAAUGGUGGGGCGGUGGGAGAGGGAAUGAGGGGGAGAGGUUUGGGGAAGCUGGAGCCGAGGUAGGAGAGGUGCGCUGCUCUAUUUGUGUGUGUGUGCUCUAUGUGUGCUCUAUGGUGUGCUCUAUGUGUGUGUGAUCAGAAGUUCAAACAUGGCGAUGGGAAGGAAGGAAAAACGAGAGAAGGUAGAAGUAGAACAAAAAGAAGGCUUGGAGGAGGACUUUCCUGCCCCCAUUUCAACAAUCUCACCCCUCCCCGAUGGCCAAAACCGGACAUCGGCAGUUACUUCGAUUCACUUUCGCACCCAGACUCCCACUCCCCACUUCCACUCCUACCUGCCCAGUCAUUCACGUCGUCCUCUGCGUCGUCCAAUCCCUCUCCGCAAAGGAACCCACCACCACUACCCCACUCUCCACUUCGACAUUUCACCCACCCUUAGGGGGCAUCAUCAAAUGAGUUUCAACCCCCCCCCUUCCAAAACGGCCUCCAACGGCCCUCUGCCCCGCCGCCCCCCCCCCGGGUAAUCCCCCAUCUCCCCCAACUCCGCAUCAGAGCCCAUCAGCGCCGCAGUGGCCGCAGCUCACAACGGCACCACAGGGGGCCCAGCAGCACCCGGCAACCCGCCGUACACCCCCUUGCCGGUUGAGUCUGCGGUGGCCGCCCUCCGCCAGUUGUGGCAGGAGGAGUGUGUGGACUCCCCCCGCCUGCUGGCCUUGAGCACCUCCUCGAUAUCCUCCGCCAGCAGCCCGUCACCCAAGUUCCAGAGGUCCAUGGGAAUGGUGGCGCCCGCGGGGCAGGNNNNNNNNNNNNNNNNNNNNNNNNNNNNNNNNNNNNNNNNNNNNNNNNNNNNNNNNNNNNNNNNNNNNNNNNNNNNNNNNNNNNNNNNNNNNNNNNNNNNNNNNNNNNNNNNNNNNNNNNNNNNNNNNNNNNNNNNNNNNNNNNNNNNNNNNNNNNNNNNNNNNNNNNNNNNNNNNNNNNNNNNNNNNNNNNNNNNNNNNNNNNNNNNNNNNNNNNNNNNNNNNNNNNNNNNNNNNNNNNNNNNNNNNNNNNNNNNNNNNNNNNNNNNNNNNNNNNNNNNNNNNNNNNNNNNNNNNNNNNNNNNNNNNNNNNNNNNNNNNNNNNNNNNNNNNNNNNNNNNNNNNNNNNNNNNNNNNNNNNNNNNNNNNNNNNNNNNNNNNNNNNNNNNNNNNNNNNNNNNNNNNNNNNNNNNNNNNNNNNNNNNNNNNNNNNNNNNNNNNNNNNNNNNNNNNNNNNNNNNNNNNNNNNNNNNNNNNNNNNNNNNNNNNNNNNNNNNNNNNNNNNNNNNNNNNNNNNNNNNNNNNNNNNNNNNNNNNNNNNNNNNNNNNNNNNNNNNNNNNNNNNNNNNNNNNNNNNNNNCGCAAUAUGCUGUCAAUUGUUUCUUAUAUUUUGCCAAUUUUCCCCACCGCCCUCUCUUCAGGUCGAUGACCGUGCCAUUGCGGGUGUGUAUCGCGGCACGGUUGUUCGCGGGGAGGGGGAUCUGCCCCUCGGGGAUGUACGGAUCACGGACUGUCACGAGGCGGUCAUUUACCUGCUGGCCCCUCUGCAGGUAAAAGAGGGGAGGGGAGGGGGGCCGGGCGGGGAGAGGGGAGGGGGGGCGGGCGGGGAGAGGGGAGGGGGGGCCGGGCGGGGAGAGGGGAAGGGGGGGGCGGGCGGGGAGAGGGGAGGGGGGCGGGGAGGUUUUAGGUGGUUUGUUACGGUGAGGAAGGAGAAGGGAUGGGGGAAAGAAGAACGGGGGAGCUGUCCCUGUUCCCGAAAUCUCUCUUCUUUUAAAUACAUACAUAUAAGUCAGGUCAGGCACUACUGGUAGAGCACGCACCUAUGCCCCCGGGAGAUCCCGGGAUCGAGACCUGUCAGAGUCGAAAAUCCUUCCUAUGGUGGAGGGUAAUGUGCCCCUAGUCGAUGGACGGUGGUGACCUGGGGUAAAGUUGACUCGCGAGCCGACCUGGAAUGGAGUUAAGCCGCCGUGCUGAUCCGGCGGAUUCCGUUGGAUGCCGGUGGUGGGUGCGGAACCUGAGCGAUCCACUGAGAGGUUGGCUAGGGUGACUGGAUGAGGGUGCCCCGAAUACCGGGGAUGGCAGGGUCUGAAGAUAUGAACCCCCUGUCCCACACAUCAUACAUAUGCACACAAGCGCACAUACCCUACCACCAACGCCACCAACGCCAGCACCAGCACCAGUGCACAGGGCCACCAUCUUUUGUUUGGGCGUUAGUCUGAAUCCCGAGGUGGGGUUUUCUUCCACUCUUUCCACCCAACCCCACCACCACACACACCCCACACACCGCGCCGCCUCCCCCCCUUCACAUCCGGCCCCCAAAACCACCCCCCUCAUCCCCAGGCUGCCUUCAUCAGCGGCUGCAGCGACUGCACCAUCGUGGUGGGGGCGGUGGGCAGAUUGCUGCGAGUGGAGAGGUGCGACAAGGUCCAGGUGGGUGUGGGGGGGGGAGUGGGGGCGGAAAGACGAACCACGAGCGAGUGAAGCUGCUGCCAGGGCAAGAGUGUACCAGAAGUAGGACUUGGGUUUGAGGGGGGGGGGGAAAGAGGAGAGGGCAAUGGAGCGGGCGGCUGUACGGCAGCGAUACCCGAUGCCGCAUGGUAUCAUGCAUCAGCCGUAGCCGCAUUGCAGCGGUGCUGUAAUGAGGGGCAUACAGACAUACAGACAUUCACACACACACACUCAGGCACACACACGCGGCGGAUGCGCAGAAAUGGAUCCACGGAGGAAUAAGGCCGGCGGGUUAACGUAUGUUCCGCAUAUGUCCUUAACCCCCCAACCCCCCGUUCUACCCCUUAACCCCCCCUACCCCUGCUCCCCCCCCACACACACAUAUAUAUACACACACAUACAUAUACACACACCCGCCAGGUUAUCGCGGCCACCAACCGCCUGCUGGUCGCCUCGUGUCACGAGUGCUGCUUCAAUGUGGGCACCCCUCGGGGUCCCGUGCUGGUGGGGGAUAACCGCUUCCUNNNNNNNNNNNNNNNNNNNNNNNNNNNNNNNNNNNNNNNNNNNNNNNNNNNNNNNNNNNNNNNNNNNNNNNNNNNNNNNNNNNNNNNNNNNNNNNNNNNNNNNNNNNNNNNNNNNNNNNNNNNNNNNNNNNNNNNNNNNNNNNNNNNNNNNNNNNNNNNNNNNNNNNNNNNNNNNNNNNNNNNNNNNNNNNNNNNNNNNNNNNNNNNNNNNNNNNNUCUACAUGCAAGAAGCAAACGACGGACUUCCGACUGACGUCUAGAAGCUGUAUUGCAACUGCCAACCCGAGUAGCGGCGGACGCUCAGCCCCAAUAACACCGGGGCGUUUAGGGGAGCCAUGGGGAGGUUAAGCAGGGGAGCAGUGGUGCGAGGGGUUGGAGCUUUAGGGUGAUGGGAAGGUGAAGCGCCAGGUAACCCAUAGAUAGACAGACAGACGGACGAGGACAAGUUACUCGUUUGAUUCGAUCCAAACGGAGGGCAGUGUGCCCCGGGAGGAGGUGAAUUCGGGGGUGAGAGGAGGUUUUGUGUGGGAAUGUGCGUGUGGUGGUGUGUCGCGAUGCGUACAGCAUCAUCACCGCGACGCCCGCGAUCUCCAUCUCCAUCUCCAUACACCCCGCACAGGUAAGGACCGUAAGAGUCUGGCGGGUUCUACACCCAACAGCCCGCGACUGGCUAGCAGCGGCAGUGGAAGUGCGGCGUACUCGUCCUCUGUUGCCAAGUCAAGCUUCAGUCUGCAGUCGCCGGACGAGUUUCUGCCGUUCGUGGUGCCCUUCCUGGGCAGCAAUGGGCCUCUGGCAGGUAGUGCUGGGGUUAGGAAGGAGGGUAGGAAGGAGGGUAGGGGGGAGGGUAGGGGACAGAGGGUGGGUGUAGGAUGGUGGGGACUGUGUGUGCACGUACAUGUGCAGGUGCCCGUGCCCGUGCGUGUAUAAUUUGCACUCCGUCUAAUGGCAAGAUCACCCAAACUCCGAACCCCUGAGUUCCCCCCAUUAUUUGCGCAUCUCUGUGUGGGGUGGGUGGGUGGGGAAAGGGGCCUUGUGGGCCAGGAGCGUCUGAGUGCUGUCUGCCUGUCAGCCAUCAUCAUCAUUAUAAUCGCCAAACCCACACACAUCCGCAAUUGCCGCAUCCGGUCGUUUCUCUCUCUCUCUCACUCCUUGCAUGCGAUUCUCCACACACAUACACACACUCUCUCUCUGUCUCUGUGUGUCUCUCUCUCCCCCCCGUUCCCAGGUGGUGCGGCCCCCGCCAUAGCCAGUCGUUGGAACCACCUGGCCGUCUCAGCGCAACGAGGCCCAGGUCCGCUUUACCUCUUCCCGCUGCCAGCCGAGUACGAGCGAGCGCUGCAGCGGCGACUCAACCUCACUCACGAUAUGCGCAGCAAGUUCAAGCAGGUAACGGACGGGGUUGCUGGUGGAGUGGGGGGAGUGGGUGCGUGCGUGGGGAGUUUCGGAGGGUGGGGACGGCAGUUGGCAGUUGACGGUUGGUGUGAGGUGAUGAUUGCGGUAGGGGCGGUAGGGGGUUUGAACGAUAACGGUGGUGUGCUGGCUGGCAGGGGUAGGGCUAGGUGCUGGUUGGUUGGCUGGUAGAACUGAGGGGGAAAGCUGUGUAGGUCCUACUCUUAGGGUUGGGCUUCUAAAGGUGUGUCAUCGCCCUCUGCAUCAUGCAGCCUCCAUCUUUUACCCGUACUGCGCGCUACAAACCGUCCUGACCCCGUGGUAUGCCGUACGCGGUGCACCUCCAAAAAACGUGAGAAGUUCACAGAGCAGUCGCGGCCCCGAGGAGUUCGCAGAAGAGCAGUCUCGCGUCAUCGCCCAUUGGACUACUCCUCCUCCUGCAGUUUGCGGCGACUUUGGACGCCUUCCGGCAGUUAUUGUUUUCCCCCUUCUUGACUUCUUGGCAGGGCACGGCAUUGUACAACAAUCCCCCAUCCAUCCUAAACCGCUCCAACCCUCCCCGAACCCAUGUUUUGGGCUUUGGAUGCCUUCCGGCAGUCAGUCCGUUUUUUAUUAUUGUUUCCCGGCAUUUGAUUGCCCCCACGCCCCCCACCACCACCACCCGGUUUCAGGCUGGUUUGACGAAGGACAAGGAGCGGGAGUUGAAUGACGCCAUUCAGAGCUACUUCAAGGAGUGGCUGGUCGGCUCCAACCUGCUGAGGCAGAUCUACGACCUGUCCACACUGGAAAAGGAGGAGAUGGCGGCGGCGGCUGCAGCCAGUGCCAGUGCCUCGGCGGUGGGGCUGUCACCCAUUCCGGGACCAGCGGGCCUGGCGGACGCGCGCUGAGAAGAUCGGAACGCGGAAGCGGAAACCUUAUGACAGCGGAGUCGACUCGGCCCACCUCAGCUCAGCUCGCCGCGCCGCGCCGGUCUCAUAUGCGGCUGUAGCGGCCGCCGCUGCCGGGGCGGGGGAAGUAGCACAGCUACUGCCCGGGGCCCGACGGGGACGUGUGAUGCGAAUAUACCGACAGCCACGUGCACCAACCAUAGACGUACGGAGGAGGGGGGUUGCGGUAUUUUGGGUAAGGGCUUCGUCUAUAGCAGCUGUGACAUCAUGCGCUGUGACUCAAUUACAUUUCCGCUGACGCUGGUUGUACUGGUGGUGGUGGGAUGGGAUGGGAUGGGGUGUUGCACUUACCUUUGGAAAUUAAUGGUCGAUGGAUGGAUGGAUGUGUGGAUGUGUGUCAGGUCUGUCUUUGUGGUUGCGAAUGCGAGGUGGCAACUGGGUGAGGUGUGGGAGUCUUGAAUGUUCUGACAGAUGACGUUGCACCCGUCUAGUCGUGGUGUUGUGUAGGGUUGGGACUGGUUUCGGAGCUGACAAGGAGGACUGCCCAUUUACUACGUGUUGCAGUAGUAUAGCUGUGUUUGCGUAGGAAUAUGGUUUUCUGUAAGGCUGUCUGUCCGUAUGUCCAUGCAUGCUUUAAAUGUGGGCGGUUGUGGUGCAGUGGGGUUUGGGGCCUAACCUUAAAAAGGGGCGCUGUUGUGUGUUUUUAGGGAUUUGUCAACAUGGUAGGUGUAAGGACAUACAUACAAUGGGUUACAGGGCGGUUUGGGGAGCAGGAGCCGAACCGCUUUGGGCUUGUGGGGCAGGCAUUUUCUCUCUCACUCUCCCUCCUUCGCGGCUGGUGACGAUGAUGCACGCAAAAGCUCUUAACAAAAAAUAAUUGAAAAAAUCACAGAACUCUCUGACACUGAAGUUGUGCGUGUGUAUUUGAAUAUACAGCGUGUGUCGAGUGCCAUGUAAGAAACACUUUUGCUGCGCGCUGUCGAGUUGCAGUGCAUGCCUACUACCUUCACCUGCCUGCCUUUUUUUCAUCAGCACGCCCCACACACCCGACUCAACAGCACAGCUUUACACAUUUUCCUUCAAUCACGCUCACUCUGACUUAAUAAGUGAUACGAAUACUCCAAACCCUGUCGCAACGCGUUGGUCGAUUAUCGCUGGGCACUAGAGCAACAAUAUUAACGCAGCCAUCAACGUAUGUACGGCAUCAGUGGUUCGUACUCCCCAGCGUGUGCUGCCUCCCAUUUCGCUGUGUCGCCGCAGCCAGUUCGCGGCCUCACCACGCCCCCCUGCCCAACCUCUGCUGGUUCCCGCGGGUAUACUCGACACCGUACGACCUCCCACGUGUCCCGCAACAUGCCGUACUUUUGUUCGUACACUAACGCUCGAGUGGCGUCGUCCUCGUGCUGCACCAUGAUUGACGGCGCGCUGUUGAACUCCAGUAACCACGGCUUCAGCCGCUCGUCCAACAGAAAAUCCACGCCGAGGACCUGGAAUCCGUACUCUUGUACGGCAGGUCGUAACCAGGCGUGCGCUUCCACUAGCGAUGGUGCCGCGGCUGCUAGUGCGCGACUGCAGGCGCCGCGCAGCGCUUCCCACACGCCGCUAAAUCGUGCCGGCCCCAAAUGCUCAGCCAGUUGAUGGAGCCCCCAGACCAGAGUGUUGUUGUUGCGCGCGUAGUUGGUGAUGUGGCUGGCGGGGAGCUGGUAAUGCGCCGCGGCGGCAGAGGAUUCCGGCGGUGGCGGCGACAGCGGAGGGCCAGCGGCAGCGGCGCCGCCGCCACCACCACCGCGCGGCUGCUGACGCUCCGCGGCGGCCUUGUCGUACGGAUCGGUGCUGAAGAGCACUAGCCCUCGUCUAGUGCUCAUCGCCCCGAGAAAUGAAUUGUUGACGGCGGGCGGGACAGACAGCGGAAGGUUGAGAAUGGGAGAGCGCACUCGGUACACUAACGAAGCGGGUUUGGAGGCUAGGAGAGAUAAGUAAAGGGACAGAAACACAGUCACACUCACACCCGUCCGCUUCAGCUUCCGCUUCUCGCCCUGAACUCUCCCCCUCCCUCCCACACACACACACUUCCCCUCCUUCACUCCACCCCUCCACAACUUCCUCCCCCCCUACACACAUACACAUUUACCUGUGCAGGUACGCCCGCAGCGGGCUAUGACACGUCACCAACAGCCACAGCCGCAGGUGAAACUUGCGACCCAGGACCAGGAACGGGUUUGUGAUGUACUGCUGGGCCACCUGCAGCUGGAAACGCCUACUGCUGCUGCUGCUGCCGCUACUGCCGUCGUCUCCUUGCUGCUGCUGCUGCUGCUGCUGCAGCCUCUCACGCGCGUACUUCAGCGCCGAUUCGGCAGGCAGCAGGCUCAGGCCCUUGCCUACACGCAAGUCGCGCAAAGCUUCGUAAUUAAGAUGGGGUGCAGCAGAGAUGCGAUUCCCCUUCCUCGAGGCGAGGGUUCGGGGGGGAGGGUGUUGAGGGUUGUGGGGACGAACCAUUGGCAAUUGAAGCAGAUGCCAGAGAUCAACGGUCGCGGGGGUUGGUGGAGGGAAGAGAAGAAACGCCAUUAGGCUGAAAGAGAGGAAAAAAACCUUUCCCUCCCCCAUAUCCCCCCCUACCUCCCCUCCUCCCCUCCUCUCCCCCCCCCACACACACUCACCCGCGUCCUGACCAGUCUUGAGGAUCCAAAGCGAGGAACCAAAUCCACCAAUAUCACCUCCGGCACCAUUUCCACUCACAUUGCCACCACCACCACCGUCACCGCCGUCAUCACCCUGUCCCUCCUCCCUCCCUUGGCUCUGCAUCCCCUGCUGCUGGUUGUUGCGGUUGUGGCGGUUAUAGUGCUGUUGUUGCCGCUUCAAGAAGUCCUCCCAGGCGCCCAUGUCCUCGGGGAGCGCGAAGGAGCAAGGUGUGAUGGCGAAGGCCGCCUCCGGCCCCAGCGCUCCCCUCAGCGUCAACAGCAGCCGCUUCUUCAUGGUCAGACAGUUGAGGCCGAUGACGGCGCUGACCUGCAGGCAGGUAGCACCACACCACACCACACCACACCAGGCCACACCACACCAGGCCGCACCGGAGCGGGGUUGUGGAGUCAGUGAGCAGGUCGGCCUCGAGUGAAGUGCUGUGCUGCCAGGAGAAUGAGGAGAAAUCAGGAAGCGAAGGAAGAAGGGCUUGGAAAGAGCCCCCACAAUGGCAGUGAGAACGGGCUCCCCUUCCUUCUUCCGAGCACUUGCGCGGCGUCCAUAUGCUGGGGCCCACCUAGCUUAUCGUGUUCCUCUUCGCGCUCUCUUCCACAUCCCCCUUGACCCCCUUAACCCGCGUCCCCUCUCUCUUUCCCACCAGUUGACCCGGCCGCAUGCUGCGAGCCGCGGAAAUGGCGUACGUGGACUUGGUCCACAGCACCUCCCAGCACUCCAUGUUACUCGAGCCGAGAGAGGGUCUGCGGAGAGGGAGGGGGAGGCGGGGAGGGACGGAGAGUAAUGCAAGGCCGGCGGAGCCCCUCCCCCCUUUCACACGCCCACACGCUCACGCAAAACCCGCUUACUAUCCAUGUAAAUCCGUACCCCGGUGCAGCCGCCGCCUCGGCCGCCUCCUCAGCCGUCAACUGCUGCUGCUGCCGUCGCCGCCGCCACCGCCGCAGCUCCCGCUCCUCCUGCCUGCUGGGUCCGCCAGUACGGACGCCGCCCGCCUCCGUCAGCACCGCCUCGAAGAGCUCCACCGCCACGCGGCCCUGACUCCAAAGCAGCUCAUCCACCCAGAACCUAGGGCGGGCGGGCGGGCGGGCGGGCGACGACGACGACGACCAAGGUACGGUGGAGGGGGCGGCGGAGGCGACGGGGGUAGCGGUUGGUGCUGGUGUUGGUGUUGAUGGUCAGGGAAGUGAGUGCAGUCAGGGCUCGUGAAGCGGACGGAAGGGGGUCGAGUGUGAGGGGUUACUUCGCACUCGCCCGGUGGUUUCCCGGAGGGGUUGGCUGCGGCACCUCUCUUGGCUGUGGCACCCGCGAACCGGAGGAAGGAGGAAGGAGGAAGGGCUUCAUGACGUCAUGUUCCAAAGCGGCCUCGCGCAUCCGGACCUUCCAGAUGGAAAUUGAUCGACCCUCCUAUUGUCACGAUAUGGCCCUGUGUACUCUGAUGGCCUCCCUGCUCCGCACCUGAAUGGGGCCCGCGGCGCCGCCGUAAUCCGCUCCGGAACCAGGGCAACCCGCCGGAGAUCCACACCUGACGUGGGCAGGUUAGUAAUUACAAAGGAAGACAGUUGUGACGGUUAUUGUAACCGUGGGAUGCUGGUGGAGGUGACGAUGUGCCGUGCGUGGGAAUACACACAUGCAUGCCUGGGCCAAGGCACACGCACAUACAUACACCUACCUACCUACAUACAUACACACAUUUACAUCCAAAGGGUUUCGCAAAGGCAACCGGGAGCGGGUCUGUCCGGGUGCAGAGGGGGCAAGAGGACCCUACCCUCGCCUGCGACCCACAUCUGUUCAGGGGGCUCCCUCUUCUUCUGUGCAUCCUUGAGCCACCCAACCCAUGUAUGAGAGAGGCAUCCGUCGCUGCUCACUGGGUGGAAUGCGUUGGUCAAAAAGGGGGGGAUGGGCGCCGCCACCGUUAUGGCGAUCGACCGGAAGAGCAUGCGUCCGAAAGCCUGCUCUCUUUUUAGAUCUUGCGCUUUGGCUGAGGUACCCUAGUGAGCAUGCUGGGGCCGAAGUCGACUGCCGUGGAUCUUCGGAGGCGAAGCCGGGAUGCCGCCGCGUGACGGCAGCAGCAGUUUCCGGUCCACGGGCGACAAGGUGCUCCAGUUGCAUGCUACAUGCAAUUAGUCUCUGUAGUACGGAAUCCAAAAUGCCGUGGAAAUUUUACGGACUCGUGAUGACCGUCAAGUGUCGAAAUUCAACUGCAUUCCACGUAUUGUUCGGCUGGACGAGCAGGGAUCGAUUGCAUAUGGUUAAUCAAAAUACAAGUAGGAGUUAGUACAAGGACUGCAAUCUACACGUUAUGCGUGUACCAUUUACCAUGAUGCUUAAGAAAACGGGGUGGACGAUCAACUACCGCUGGACGUGCAGCCAACCGACGCCCUUUCAAUUUGCACCGCACUCACAGUCUUGGAGCAAAAUUGUCCUGCUUUCAUCUUCUGAGGCACUGAAAUUUUGCUGCUGGGUUUUCGCAAAAGCACUCGCAAACCUGCACACUUCCCAGAAAGGUUCCCGUUAAGCGGCUUCCGGCUUUGAGUACGCGAAACGCUCAGGUAACGAUUUUAAAUAUCCUGUGCAUGAAAAUGUUUACAGUUUGGACAAGGCCGAGGCAGUGUUUUGAGGGAGGGAUUCCGUUCGGUGGCGUUCCGGCGCCGUUUAUUAUUGGACCGAAAUUGAAAGUGUUCUUCACAUGUAAACGCGGGAACUGAACCCAUGUUGGCAUCCAACGACGACAUGGCGUAGGCCGUAAGCCGUUUGAACACACGGAAUUUGUUCAUGCCAGCACGCACGACUGGAUUUUUGACUCGCCACAGCUCGCACCCAGACGCUGUGUAUGUUCGUGUGUUCGUGUUGCACAUUGAUCCGGGCCUGACGCGUUUGUGUGUAUGUGUGUGCGUGUGUGUGUGUGUGUGUAUGUGUGUGUAUGUGUGUGUAUGUGUGUGUAUGUGUGUGUAUGUGUGUGUAUGUAAUGUAAUGUUACAGAGUGGGAGGCUUCUGGGCCGCUUUAUCACAUUGUCAGUUCUACGAUUUAUCAUCUUAUAGCACCAUCCACCACUACCACACUAUACUUCGCCAUACGAACUGUAAGUCCAAGGCCGCGGGUCCAGCCGUCUAGGACCCCUCCUCAUCCAUUCACCCGAACAACCAAAGAGACGGAGGAUUCGGCAAUCGCCAACAAUCCAGCGUGCGAAUCUGGUCCAUCAACUGCCACCUCAACUCCACAUCUCAGCAGCUAGCCAUAAUCUCGCGCUCCCGACUAAUUCGGGGGUCUCCCCAGGACCUUAAACCGCGAAUCGCAGUAGUGUCAACCCAGACCAGAGUGUGUAUGUGUGUAUGUGUGUGUAUGUGUGUGUAUGUGUAUGUGUGUGUAUGUGUGUGUAUGUGUGUAUGUGUGUGUGUCUGUGUGUGUAUGUGUGUAUAUGUGUGUCUGUGUGUGUGUGUGCGUAUGUAUAUAUGUGUGUGUACAUGUAUGCUCAGCCAUAUAACAUAAACACGAUGUCAUGAACUACCGCCGUGUUCAUGCUGAACCGUGCUUGCCUUGCCUUAACCGUUAACUAAAUUAAGAAGUUGGUCGUUUGGGUCAUUCGUUCGGUAUCAUAAGGAUAUCCCGUUCUUCUCACCUGCCUGCCUGCCCGGCCGGCAGUGCCUGGUAAAGAUUGCAGCGACCAAUCAAUGCUCUGUAAUGCGGCCACACUCAGAACGCGAGUAUAUCGUACGGGACAGAUGACCUGCUGUCACGACAUUUUAGAGUCACGUUCAUUUUACCGUCUUUUAUAAUUGUCUGCUGUGUACAAAAGCCAAUCAAGUCCUCAGAUUUGGGAGAAGCACGUCGUGUGUACGGCCCCCCAGGUAUUUGACGUUCUCAUCUACAGCUUACUUCUCCGGACUCAAGGUGGCCUUGCUGAGGGCGCCCUUAGGCGGAUAGCGCCUGAAAAAGAUGUUGGGUUUCAAGUCAUUGGACGUCCGGGGUGGGUGGGGUGAAAAAGUGGAACAAAGCCCUGCUCACCAAGCCAAAGCCACAAGGACAGUUUACCAGAGCCCCCGCUGAUUCGACGCUAGGAUUUCAGGUCCACUGCUGGCUCCAGGGGGGAGAUGCAAUCUCCACCGUAGCCUCCAGGAAGCAGCACCAGCGAGCUUUGGAAGCUGUAGGGGAAGGGGCACGGCGGUCGCGUUGCAGCCGCGGCAGGGGCCGCGCAGUAGACAGCAGUCGGAAGCAAGCUGUAGAGGGGAUGUAGCAACGCGAACAAAGAAAGCAAAGAAACGCUUGGCGAGUAAGUCGGUCGGGGUCGGUCCGUCGACUAUUUCUCCCCCGGCCGGGGCAAGCGCCAGAGCCAGAAUGGCACGUUUGUGUGAUUAUUGCGGAAUGUGGAAGAUCAUUCUAGAUCGGCCUGAGCAGGAUCUAGCCGGGUUCGCGCCUCUUUGCCCGUUAUUGCGUUGUGGGUGCUUUUGCUAGUUUAGGCUCCAACAAAUAUGAUUUCGAAUCGGAGUGCUUCUUUCCGGCAGCGGAAUCUUUUUGCUCCCUGUGUGCGUAUAACGCAGCGGGCUUUAGUUCGGCGACAGGCACUGGCGGCACAUGGAAAGUGACUGUGGAAGUGUAGGAUCAAUACCGGCAAAAGUCAUUUGUUGUUUUUACCUAUAGCAUCAUGCCUCUUUAGCUAUUGUUGUUGGAAUUUAAAGAACGUAUCUUCUCGCAUCGUCUCGCGUUAUCUCGCGAUAUCAAUUGACGACAAGGUGAAGGUAAGGAGACGAGCAGGAAGUAAAUGCAGUACGCGACAGUCGGGACAAAAUCUACCUUGUCCGUAAAAGAGCCUUGGCAGUUGGUCCGUUCGGGGGGGUAGUGCAGUUUCAUUCGUUAUUCGAGAAAAAGAUUCCGGCGUUUCGCCAACUUGCGGCAGUUGCGGCUGCGUGUCGUACGCUCGGCCAUCGCAUACUUCCAUCCAGAAAUAUCUCGCGAAGAUAUUUUACUGGGUCUACCCGUUGAAACAUAAUAGAAUUUAAAAUUCAUAAGGAUUCUCCUGUCUAAUCCUCGUUUCAGUGCUACCAUGCGUCAGUUCGCAAUAUCCGCUGGACAUUUAUGCCUGCUGCUCCUUGCCUGUACGCAAGGUAAGUACUUCUGUGAGUUAUGAUUCGUGUAGUGUGCAUGCAGACUGCAAUGUAGAGACAUUGGCGCGGCGAAAACAAUCUCCCGGCGUUUCUUGCGUGUUUCGGGAUCGCGCGCAGCAGGCGGCGUCAUGGGCCAAGGUACCAUAAAAGUUGUUGGAGACCGGUUCAUCCAUCCGAAGGCAAGUAGUUGAAUGUUAUUGCCGGUGUGUUGGCAACAGAAACGCAGAUUAUUCGUACUGCGCCUUGCCAAAGCCGGAGGCGCCCACGCAUGAAUGCAGUUCUGGCGCUCUUACGUGUGAGCUUUACUCUGUUUAGCUUAAGUUCGCGAUGCGCAUUACCGUCCCUGUGGGGACUGCUGUGUUCUAGAUCAUUUACCACCUUCCGAAACUAGCCUUCAAUUUGACCUAUAGCUUAGUGAACACGCAGUUUCGUAAAACUUAAUACUUACUUAUAAAACUCUUCCUCUUCCUGGAGAGUUGUUAUCGGUCGCAGACGCACCUUAGGUAGGCUACCAUCACCUCGCGAAGCCUAGCACGUGCGUGAAAUGUAACGGACAAACAUGUAACAAAAAAACCUUUUUCACUCGAUAAGUCUCGCCCGCUGCGUUUGCCACCUGCCGGCCACUCGAGUUUAUUACACAAAUUGUUACCAUUCGACGGCAUUCCUGUAAAACAAGGUCCUACCUAAUGAAUAUUAAUUUUACGUCAUUCAUGCAGGUGAAGACAGCAGUACUGCAGUGCUGGUGACCUGUGUUGGUCGAAUCACCGUUUCGAUGGAUCAAUCGUUUCGCAGUGCUGCAUUCAUCUAUGCGACUGAAUAACAAAUAAAAACUAUGUAUGUUACCCCUACGCAGGGGACCCCCCAGGACUACCUCCAAACUUAUGUUAUUCUCCCUGUCGAUCACACAUCGCGCACGCCGCCCCUCGCUGUGGGUGUGGAGCUGACGGAGGGUUUUGUGUCCAAGGCCACCAAGCUGCCCAAACUGCUCAACAUCCCUAUCCCGAUCGGACCCACGGAGACCUUCAGCUACUCUGCAUUUGAACAGCCGGCAGCUUUCUUCCCGAUGGUGGGCACCAACCCCUUCGGGUAAGCGCGGGACUAGUGGUCUAUUUUUUUUAAGCCGCACGGCACCGACGACGAUGGUAGCUGUAAAACCCUGAAGUUACUAGCUACCAGUUCCAUUAAAAUACCGAGGGCGGGGUAGAGUGGCCUGUUGUUGAAGCCCUAUGGGGGUUCCGUGGUACCGUUAAGGGAAGAAGACAUGUAUCCCGAAACACGCAGACUUUCCUCUCUUAAGCUGUCUUAAGCUCUUUAUUUACUUCGUUAUCCACAUCAAGCGCAGUAACGUGUCCUGCUGCUUAACAAGUGUAUAUGUACGAAAGCCAAAUCUUUUUUAUAUACGCCAUGUAUACUACAAGGGCAGUCGAGGCCUUCAACAGCGUGUAUGCGCGAGGUCUUGUUUUGCUACUACCUGCCAGUCGGUGCUUUCCGUUCCAUGCACUUGCUCUGCUCCGUUUUUCUAUGUGCGUGGUUUCGUGCAGCCCAUUUAGCCGAGAGGCCGCACCUGCCACCCGUGAUCACAUUUAUAUAUUUGCUGAGUAGCAGUGUGUCUACACUGCUACUGUAACAACCACACACCACACACACAUACACACAUACACGAUCUACAUGAUGGUUUAAUGCGCCAGCUAACGGUCGUCCAGCUUUUCAUGAUCACGCUGCCUUGAGUGAGCGCCGCGUCCUCCGGCCACCCCUUCCUCCACCCCUUACCUUUUCCCUUCUUGCAUCUUCUUUCUGCCGUACGUUCGCUCGCGUGUUGUUAGGUUUGUAUACUGGUCGUACGCAUUCAACGGCCACCCUGGAGUCGGUAAGUGCUCUAAUUUCAUGCGUACUUAGGACGAUGUUUACUUAGAGCAGCCGCGAGUGUGUUUAACACAUGACGGUGAUGGUGAUGGUGAUGGUGAUGGUGAUGGUGAUGGUGAUGGUGAUGAUAACCUUUAAAUAUCUCUGUACAUGAAGUAUCAGUGCUGAGAGCCUCAGGGGUUUCCUGGAGGGGCUGCCGGACUCGCCCGGACUCACCCUCGCAGACUACCUACCAGUUGAAACGCUUCACCACGUACCGUGUUACACAUUUGUGCGUCGUGCAGUCGCCACCGAACAAAAGCUAAUAGCUACAGGAGCUAUUGUUACCCGCGGCACAUCAUCGCCAUUGACUAAAAUCCUUUUGGAAUGGCGGUUAUAUCCUGGAGACGUAUUCCUAACAUACUCCUUUUCCUUUCACGUGCGGGAACAUGGCGCAGGCAUCUACGACGUACCACACUUCGAUUUCCACUUCAUGUUCCCGUCGUACGAUUACUGGUGGAACCAGGAGUGGAAUGUGAACAGUCACGGGCCCUGCAUGGGCGGCAGUAAUGCAACCUUCUUCAAGACCUUCAAGCCGAUCCCAUCUUGCUGCUGGCCAGGAAGCACACUAGGCCCUAUCAUUCAAGCGGGGGACUUCGUUUGGGGGGUGAGAGUAUGUGCGAAGCAGCACAUGGACAUACAUACAUACAUACGCACAUACGCACAUACGCACAUACGCACACAUGCAGCCAGCGCCAUCGUGAAGACCUGGUCGUUCCCUAGAAGAAGAAAACGUCCAGGCAUGGCAUGGAAUGCAUACAUACAUACAUGCAUACAUUUAUACAUACAAUAUCAACUUGCGAGCUGACCAGGAACUAAGUUGAUGCGCCGUUGAUCCGCUAGAUUUGGUUGGAUGCUGGUGGUGAGUUGCCGAACCCAACGAAUACAUUCUGAAGUCGGAUGGGGUGACGGAUUAGGGUGCCCCUCUAGCAGGGGAGAGCAGGGACUGCCCCUGGAAAGGGGGCCGCUGGCGAAGUGUAACAACAUACAUACAUUUAGGCAGGCGGCUGGCAGAGGUUAAGGCCUGACUUCUGCUCCCAGUCG